UACGUAGGGGGCUAGCGUUGUCCGGAAUCAUUGGGCGUAAAGCGCGUGUAGGCGGUCCGGUAAGUCCGCUGUGGAAGUCGGGGGCUCAACCCUCGAAUGCCGGUGGAUACUGUCGGGCUAGAGUGCGGAAGAGGCGAGUGGAAUUCCUGGUGUAGCGGUGAAAUGCGCAGAUAUCAGGAAGAACACCAAUGGCGAAGGCAGCUCUCUGGGACGGUACUGACGCUGAGACGCGAAAGCGUGGGGAGCGAACAGG
rnacentral:rRNA from 1 species